UACGUAGGGGUCGAGCGUUGUCCGGAGUUACUGGGCGUAAAGCGUGCGCAGGCGGUUUUGUAAGCCAGAUGUGAAAGCCCCGGGCUUAACCUGGGAAUGGCAUUUGGGACUGCAAGGCUUGAGUGCGGCAGAGGAGACUGGAAUUCCUGGUGUAGCAGUGAAAUGCGUAGAUAUCAGGAGGAAUACCGAUGGCGAAGGCAGGUCUCUGGGCUGACACUGACGCUCAUGCACGAAAGCGUGGGGAGCAAACAGG
rnacentral:rRNA from 1 species